rnacentral:rRNA from 1 species
AGAGUUUGAUCCUGGCUCAGGACGAACGCUGGCGGCGCGCCUAACACAUGCAAGUCGAACGAGCGAGAGAGAGCUUGCUUUCUCGAGCGAGUGGCGAACGGGUGAGUAACGCGUGAGGAACCUGCCUCAAAGAGGGGGACAACAGUUGGAAACGACUGCUAAUACCGCAUAAGCCCACGGCUCGGCAUCGAGCAGAGGGAAAAGGAGCAAUCCGCUUUGAGAUGGCCUCGCGUCCGAUUAGCUAGUUGGUGAGGUAACGGCCCACCAAGGCGACGAUCGGUAGCCGGACUGAGAGGUUGAACGGCCACAUUGGGACUGAGACACGGCCCAGACUCCUACGGGAGGCAGCAGUGGGGAAUAUUGCACAAUGGGGGAAACCCUGAUGCAGCGACGCCGCGUGGAGGAAGAAGGUCUUCGGAUUGUAAACUCCUGUUGUUGAGGAAGAUAAUGACGGUACUCAACAAGGAAGUGACGGCUAACUACGUGCCAGCAGCCGCGGUAAAACGUAGGUCACAAGCGUUGUCCGGAAUUACUGGGUGUAAAGGGAGCGCAGGCGGGAAGACAAGUUGGGAGUGAAAUCCAUGGGCUCAACCCAUGAACUGCUUUCAAAACUGUUUUUCUUGAGUAGUGCAGAGGUAGGCGGAAUUCCCGGUGUAGCGGUGGAAUGCGUAGAUAUCGGGAGGAACACCAGUGGCGAAGGCGGCCUACUGGGCACCAACUGACGCUGAGGCUCGAAAGUGUGGGUAGCAAACAGGAUUAGAUACCCUGGUAGUCCACACUGUAAACGAUGAUUACUAGGUGUUGGAGGAUUGACCCCUUCAGUGCCGCAGUUAACACAAUAAGUAAUCCACCUGGGGAGUACGACCGCAAGGUUGAAACUCAAAGGAAUUGACGGGGGCCCGCACAAGCAGUGGAGUAUGUGGUUUAAUUCGACGCAACGCGAAGAACCUUACCAAGCCUUGACAUCCUGCGACGGUGCUGGAAACAGUACUUUCCUUCGGGACGCAGAGACAGGUGGUGCAUGGUUGUCGUCAGCUCGUGUCGUGAGAUGUUGGGUUAAGUCCCGCAACGAGCGCAACCCUUAUGGUCAGUUACUACGUAAGAGGACUCUGGCCAGACUGCCGUUGACAAAACGGAGGAAGGUGGGGAUGACGUCAAAUCAUCAUGCCCUUUAUGACUUGGGCUACACACGUACUACAAUGGCGUUAAACAAAGAGAAGCAAGACCGCGAGGUGGAGCAAAACUCAGAAACAACGUCCCAGUUCGGACUGCAGGCUGCAACUCGCCUGCACGAAGUCGGAAUUGCUAGUAAUCGCAGAUCAGCAUGCUGCGGUGAAUACGUUCCCGGGCCUUGUACUCACCGCCCGUCA